UACAGAGGGGGCAAGCGUUGUCCGGAAUUACUGGCGUACAGCGCGCGCAGGCGGUUGCCGACGUGCCGUGUGACAAGCGGGGGCUCAACCCCCGAGGGCCACGGUAAACGGGGCGACUGGAGGGAGGGAGAGGGAUGUGGAAUGCCCGGUGGAGCGGUGAAAUGCGUAGAGAUCGGGCGGAACGACCCAGGGGGCAAAACGGAACUC
rnacentral:rRNA from 1 species